rnacentral:rRNA from 1 species
GACGAGCGCUGGCGGCGUGCUUAACACAUGCAAGUCGAACGAUGAUGCCAGCUUGCUGGGUGGAUUAGUGGCGAACGGGUGAGUGACACGUGAGUAACCUGCCCCUGACUCUGGGAUAAGCGUUGGAAACGACGUCUAUUACUGGAUAUGAUCGCCGACCGCAUGGUCUGGUGGUGGAAAGAUUUUUUGGUUGGGGAUGGACUCGCGGCCUAUCAGCUUGUUGGUGAGGUAAUGGCUCACCAAGGCGACGACGGGUAGCCGGCCUGAGAGGGUGACCGGCCACACUGGGACUGAGACACGGCCCAGACUCCUACGGGAGGCAGCAGUGGGGAAUAUUGCGCAAUGGGCGAAAGCCUGAUGCAGCAACGCCGCGUGAGGGAUGACGGCCUUCGGGUUGUAAACCUCUUUUAGUAGGGAAGAAGCGAAAGUGACGGUACCUGCAGAAAAAGCACCGGCUAACUACGUGCCAGCAGCCGCCGUAAGAC